rnacentral:rRNA from 1 species
GACGAACGCUGGCGGCGUGCCUAAUACAUGCAAGUAGAACGCUGAAGGAGGAGCUUGCUUCUCUGGAUGAGUUGCGAACGGGUGAGUAACGCGUAGGUAACCUGCCUGGUAGCGGGGGAUAACUAUUGGAAACGAUAGCUAAUACCGCAUAAGAGUAGAUGUUGCAUGACAUUUGCUUAAAAGGUGCAAUUGCAUCACUACCAGAUGGACCUGCGUUGUAUUAGCUAGUUGGUGGGGUAACGGCUCACCAAGGCGACGAUACAUAGCCGACCUGAGAGGGGGAGCGGCCACACUGGGACUGAGACACGGCCCAGACUCCUACGGGAGGCAGCAGUAGGGAAGCUUCGGCAAUGGACGGAAGUCUGACCGAGCAACGCCGCGUGAGGGAAGAAGGUUUUCGGAUCGUAAAGCUCGGUUGUAAGAGAAGAACGAGUGUGAGAGUGGAAAGUUCACACUGUGACGGUAUCUUACCAGAAAGGGACGGCUAACUACGUG